rnacentral:lncRNA from 1 species
UGGCUUCUGGAGUCUUCUAGAUGUAAAAUGAUUGCGGCACGUUGAUAUCUCUAUGUAAUCCCGACGUGUGGGCCUUUCUUCCGUAUUUCCUGAUAACCCCCUGCAGAAAUAGACAAACACCAAAACUCGUGGAAUUCUGUCAGAUAAAACCCUAAGUCUAGAUGUUGAUUUCAUUUAGAUCCUUUUCUUUGUUUAUUUGAUAAUUAAAUUUGAUACUUAAGGACCGUCAACAAACUCCCCCUAGCUUACCUCUUGCUCGUCCCUGAGCAAGGAUAGACUCAGCAAUGGAUCAUAAGUUGUUGCAAUAUCUUAAAAAUUUGACGGUACACAUGCUUUUAAAUAAGAUCUCAUCUCUGAGUUAGAGUAAACUGUCAAGAACUAAAACUUACUUACUUUACCUUUCACCCAUGGGACUUGUAACCGUCACUUCUGUCUUGAGUAGUUAAAAGAUAGAACAGUCUAGCCAAGUGCCAUGUCUCUUAUUCUUGAUCAGCUAUAGCUCUGGAGUUUUUGCAGAUUUUCAAAUAAAACUCAGAGAUUCCUUAUAUGACUCUCUAAAUCUCUCUUUUGUGGUAUUUCUGGAUCCUUACCAAGGCAGUGAUGGUAUAUGCCUUCUCUCAAGAUAUGUAGUAUUUGUGGUAUAAGGAAUAGUGACAUUGCCUUCUCUCUCACCCUACUCUAAUAAGGCUUUAAUAUCUGGAGCUCAUAGGUGGGAGACAGCUAAUACAUACUUACAAGACAUUUAUUGCAUAGUCAAACCAUGGAUCCAGAGAAACAAGUCAAUAAGUCAAAUCAAGAUGUGCAUGUGUGGCGAAUGAAUGGUGUAUGGUGAUGAUGGUGAUAACAAUGGUGGAAGUCUAAUUCUACUUUUGCUCUUUUGAGGGGAUACAUACCUUCCUUGCUUUUUGAAACUUUAUGAGGAGAAUGAGAUGCUCUAUCUUUCAUUUUUUUUCUUUCCUCUCAGGUGGGUAUCCUGUACCCCUAAUUCUACUGUCGGACACUUGUCCAUUUUUACCUCUCGUCUCACUCUCUCUUUUUUUUUCUUUUGAGGUUCCGGGCACUUGCCCCUUUUUAUUUCCUCGUAUAUUUUUUCUCUCCCUUCUCUUUUUUUAGAGCUCUCAUCUCAUGAGAUAAUAUAGCAAGUGAUAGUAACAAGAUAACUUGAGCAUUUAUUUCACAAGGAAAAACAGAAAUAUUUUUGGUUAUUCUCUCCCGGAUUAGGAGUAGAAUAUUUUUGGGUGGUUCUGGAGAUGGAAAUGAAUGGAUGGAUAUAUGUGGAUGCGUACUUCCGGAGUAGAAGCAGCAUGUAUGAGUGAACGUGCAAGUAAAUCUUAAUUUAACCACAUGACAAGCUCCUAAGGGUCUACACAGCUUGACCACACUCAAUGCUCAUAAGCAGUAAAUAGUAAAUGUGUGGUUCAUAGUCUAGCAAGCAUGUAUGUAUGGCUGUGGUAGGAAUUUAAACUCUCAUCAUACAGGAACUCAUCAUGUGUUAUUUUAAAGAUUUUCAAAGAUAAAAUUCUCUAGAAUUCUAGCAUCUCUAGGAACAGAUAAACAACAGCUCAACCUUUCCAUAUCAUAUCCGUUAACGACUUAGACUUUAGAUCAAGUACUCUCCCCAUAAUUUCAGGUUUAGAGCAGGUUUAAAUUAUAACAGUUAUGUCUAAACUUGAGAGAGAACUUCAAAUUUGCAAAUUAGGCAGAGCAACUUUUCAUCAUAUCCAUGCUAGAGUUUUAUUAUUAAGAUUCAGAUUAGCAUAGCCACUUUAUUUAUUUAUUAAACACACUAAGCAAAAAUAUAUAUAUAAGCACAAAAUCUUUAUUUGGUUUUUCAUAGUUUAUGUAUUUUAAUAUUCUAAUAUAAUAUAAGUAUAAAGAUAGGUAGAAAUACUUAGCGAGAUAAUGGGGGUGCUCUCCCCCAAGCUGAAUUUUGACGUAAUUUCUCUUGAUGUAGCUAGCAGGUGGCAGAGGUGUAUUUGAAAGUCAGCAACAUUCUGACAGCGAUUAGAAUGUCCUCCGUCUGCUAGUCUUCUUGAUUCUUAAAUUCUGUGGAGCUCAAAUAGACAACAAAGCUUGUGGAACUAAUUAAGUGUUAGCAUAAAUAUCUAGCCUUCAUCAUGUUGAGCUUCCUCAAUAAAUAUUACUCCCUGUUUUUAUAUUUUUAUUUU